GCAUCAUUCGUCUAAUGGUUCAGGACUCUAGUUUUCCAAACUGGUAAUAUGGGUUCGACUCCCAUAUGAUGCU
rnacentral:tRNA from 1 species